rnacentral:rRNA from 1 species
GACGAACGCUGGCGGCGUGCUUAACACAUGCAAGUCGAACGGAAAGGCCCUGCUUUUGUGGGGUGCUCGAGUGGCGAACGGGUGAGUAACACGUGAGUAACCUGCCCUCGACUUUGGGAUAACUUCAGGAAACUGGGGCUAAUACCGGAUAGGAGCUCCUGCUGCAUGGUGGGGGUUGGAAAGUUUCGGCGGUUGGGGAUGGACUCGCGGCUUAUCAGCUUGUUGGUGGGGUGGUGGCUUACCAAGGCUUUGACGGGUAGCCGGCCUGAGAGGGUGACCGGCCACAUUGGGACUGAGAUACGGCCCAGACUCCUACGGGAGGCAGCAGUGGGGAAUAUUGCACAAUGGGCGGAAGCCUGAUGCAGCAACGCCGCGUGCGGGAUGACGGCCUUCGGGUUGUAAACCGCUUUCGCCUGUGACGAAGCGUGAGUGACGGUAAUGGGUAAAGAAGCACCGGCUAACUACGUG